rnacentral:rRNA from 1 species
UAACCUCAACCCUUGACUCACUACCCCCUACCCCCUGACUUUUUACUAAGGGGAGGAAAAAAAACAAAAAACUAUUUUCUAAUCACUUACAAGCGAAAAGGGAAAAGGCCAAAC